rnacentral:rRNA from 1 species
CGAAGGAUGCAAGCGUUAUCCGGAUUCACUGGGUUUAAAGGGUGUGCAGGUGGGAUAAUAAGUCAGUGGUGAAAGCCCCCGACUCAAUCGGGGAACUGCCAUAGAUACUGUUAUUCUUGAGUGUGGUUGAGGUGGGCGGAAUAUGACAUGUAGCGGUGAAAUGCGUAGAUAUGUCAUAGAACACCGAUCGCGAAGGCAGCUCGCCAAACCAUUACUGACACUGAAACACGAAAGUGCGGGGAUCAAACAGGAUUAGAUACCCUGGUAGUCCGCACUGUAAACGAUGAUCACUCGUUGUUGGCGAUACACAGUCAGCGACUAAGCGAAAGCAUUAAGUGAUCCACCUGGGAAGUACGACCGCAAGGUUG